rnacentral:rRNA from 1 species
UACGUAGGGGGCAAGCGUUGUCCGGAAUCAUUGGGCGUAAAGGGCGCGUAGGCGGCAAUUCAAGUCAUCUGUGAAAUCUCCGGGCUUAACUCGGAACGGUCAGAUGAUACUGCUUUGCUAGAGUGCGGAAGGGGCAAUCGGAAUUCUUGGUGUAGCGGUGAAAUGCGUAGAUAUCAAGAGGAACACCUGAGGUGAAGACGGGUUGCUGGGCCGACACUGACGCUGACAGCGCGAAAGCCAGGGGAGCAAACGGG